UGUUUAGCUUAUGGCCUCUACAGAAACAGUUGAUGAGCAGGAUUUGGCCUGUGAGUUAUAGUAUCCUGAUCCCUGGACAAAAAAUUCAAAAUUAAUUGAUAUAAAAAAGAAAAUUGAAAUCAAUUGAAAAACUCCAAAUCCAUUCAUCAUAAAAACUCUGGUAGGCGUUCCCUCUGGCACAAUGGGAUUGGCAGCAUCUCUGCAGUGCCAGGAUGCAGGUUUGAUCCUUGUCCGGCACAGUGGGUUAAAGAAGCUGGCAUUGCCACAGCUCUGGUGUAGGUCGCAACUUUGGCUCAGAUCUGAUCCCUGGCCCGGGAAUUCCAUAAGCUGCAGGGUGCUACCCCCCAAAAAACCCCUCUAGUAUAUUAGGAAUAGAAAGGAACUUCCUUAAUAAAUGGUACCUACAAAAAAAUCUAUAAUUAACAUCAGGAUUAGUAUGAAAGGUUUCAUAUUUUACCCCAGGAUCAAGAACAAAGCAAAGAUACAUUAUUUUUAACAUCAUAGGCUGACUAGCCAGUACGAUAAAGCAAGGGGAGAAAAAACCAUAUAGAUUGGAACGGAUGACAUGAUCAUUAAAGUAGAAAUCUCUAGAGUCUAUUUUUAAAGGCUCCUAGACUUAACAAGUGAAUUUAGCAUAGUUGCCUAAUAAAAGGUCCACAUAUGGAGUUCCUGGUGUGGCACAACAAGGAUCAGCAGCAUCUUGGGAGAACUGGGUUGAGGUUCCAUCUCCCGUUUAGCACAGUGGGUGAAGGAUCUGGAAUUGCUGCUGCUGUGACUUAGGUCACAACUCUGGCUUGGAUCUGAUCCCUGGCCCAGGAACUUCAUAUGCUGCAGGGUGGCCAGAAAUGAAAAAGAAAAAUAAAAGGUCAACAUACAAAAAUUAAAAUGCAAUUUAUACAAUAUUAAUGUAUAAAUCUGGUUUUUUUUUUUUUUUUUGAAAGAAAAUCUCUUUAUUCUAAUUAAUUCACAAACAAUAACAUCAGAAAAGCAUGUUUCAGAGGCCACAUAAACAUCUGCCCAGCCCCAAACUCAAUACUCAAUGAACUUCCACAUCAGAAGAAUACCCUCCUCCACUGCAAUUCUGAAGCACGAAAGCUAUUAGUGAUAGAGGAGAGGUUUAAUCUUGAUUUCACACUUUAUAUCUUCAUGAUCAAUCACAUUUUUAUGCUAAAUCAACCAGGUCAUGGGGGGUGAUUUUUCAUGUCUUCAAUGGAGCUUCUUGCUUAAGAUAAUCCAUUUGCCAGUCUGCAUUGUUUCAACACCUCGCUGAAACCCUCACAAAGCUUAAGGUCACCCUGGUUCUGGGCACACUCCAAAAACUGUUUCACCUCAUAGAAGCAUGGGCCAAUCUGCUGCUGCUGUGCUGGCUGGGCUCCCUGAGGCUCCUGGUAAGUGAUGUCAGGCCUUGAGGGCUCAGCACUACUUCCUCCACCGAAGCCCCCAGUGAUCGCAUGACCUAUCGUGUGGCCGACGGCAGAACCCACAGCCACGCCGGCUACAGUGGUUGCCAUCUGGGCCAUGAGACCUGGCUGCUGAGGUGCAGCAGCAGGGGAGCCAACAGCAGAUGGUGGAGCUGCUGCUGGUGGCUGAGCUGCCAGCGCUGGCCUGGGUGCAGCUCUCAUCUGAGGUGCCCGGCUAGCCGGAGGGGCCAUGUGGAAACUGCGGCUUCGGCUUCCACGAGGCAUCGUAACUGCGCAACGAACGCGAACCUAGAAGACAGAGAAACUCAGAGAAGACCCUGGCGGCUUCUCAUAAAUCUGUUUUUAAAAUACCUUUUAUUUAAGAAAAAGGAAAUACUUUGAUAUAAACCUGAAAAUGUGUGCAGGAGCUAUAUGCUUAAAAAUAAAAAAAAGCUAAUGAAGAAGAUCAAAAGACAUCUAAAAAUCUAAAUAAAUGGAGAGAUAUAUUAUGAUCAUGGAUUGAAAAAUUAAAUAUGGUUAAGAUGCUAAUUUUAAAAAAAGUGAUCUAUAGAUUUAACACAACUCCAGUCAAAAUCCCAGGAUCACUCAUUGUAUAUAUUGACAACUUAAUUUUAAAUUCUAUAUAGAAAGUGAGAGGAACUUGAACAGCCAAAAUAAUUUUGAAAAGAAGAAAAUCUGAUUUUAAGACUUACUAUAAAAUCACAGUUAUCAAGACAGUAUGGUAAUAGUAAGAGGUUAACCACACACAAACACAUAGAUCAAAGGAACAGGACAGAUUAUAGGUGUGAAUCCACACAAAUGUAAGCUUUUUCAUUGAGGUACAUUUACAUAACAUGAAAUUCAUCAUUUUAACUCUCUCUUUUUUCUUUUUUAAGUCAUUUUAGGGCCUCACCUGUGGAACAUGGAGGUUCCCAAGUUAGGGGUCGAAUUAUAGCUAUGGCUGCCAGCCUGCACCACAGCCAUAGCAAUUCAGGAUUUGAGCCAUGUCUACAACACCACAGCUCAUGGCAUUGCUGGAUCCUUAACCCACUCAGUGAGGCCAGGGAUCAAACCUGUGUCCUCAUGGAUUCUAGUCAGAUUCAUUUCCGCUGAGUCAUGAUGGGAAUUCCUCAUUAUUUUAACCAUUUUUAAGAGUAUAGUUCAAUGCUAUCUUUGGUAUUAAGGUCUGUAGUAAUUUCCUCACUUUUGUUUCUUAUUUUAAUCGGAGUCUUUUCUCAAAGAUUUGCCGAUUUUGUUGCUCUUUGAAAAUAUCUUAGGUUCAUUUAUUUUCCCUCUUGUUUCUCUGUUCUUUAUCUCCACUCUAAUCUUCAUUAUUACCUUCCUUCUGCUAGUUUUGAGUUUUUCCAAGUGCUUUAAGGUGCCAAUUUAAGUGGCUAAUUGGAGACAUUUUUUAAUGUAGGAACAUAGGCAUUUAAAGCUACAAAUUUCCUUCUGAGCAUAUUUCACUGCAUCACAAAAAUUUUGGUACAGCAUGUUUAUGUUUCUUUCAUUUGUGUCUUCUAAUUUGUCUUGUGAUCUUUCCUUUAGCCCACUGGUUGUUUAAGAGCAUGUUACUGUGUGCAUAUUUGUGAAUAUUCCAGUUUUCCUUCUGUUGGUGCUGGGGGUAAUUUCAUAGGAAUUUCUUUACUAGUUUGAGCAGGGGAAGAAAUUCAUGAGUAGACCAGAAGAAGCAGAAUUCUUGUAGAAUGGAUUCUGGCAAUCUCUACACAGGACUACUGUUAUUUUAUCAACAUGUGAUAAAAUAAGGUUAUAUUUUAUUGAAAUGACUCUCUCCAGCAUUGACAGCAACAACUACAGGGAAACUUAAGUUUUGAUCCUACGAUGGGUGGAGGAAAAAACGUCAAGCAGAGACCUGCCUUCUCCCACAAGAAUAAGAGAUCAUAAUAAAGGCGUUCAUUCCUUCUACUCCAGCAGCAAGAUUUAAACCUGCAUUUGGAAACAGAGCAUGGAAACAGAUACUCCUGUUGGCAAAGUUACACAAUUUUUUUUGAAUGGCUGCAUCGAAGGCAUAUGGAAGCUCCCAGGCCAGGGACUGAAUUCCAGCCACAGCUGCAACCCCAUGCCUUGCAGCAAGCCAGAUCCUUUAACCCACUGCACCAGGCCAGGAAUCAAACUGGUGCCUUUGCUUCGAUUAGUUAGAUUCUAAACCCACCUUGUCACAGCAGGAACUCCUACAUACUUUCUUUUCAUUUUUUCAUGUUUCAUUUCUUUUUUGGCUGCCUGAAGGCAAAUGGAGUUUCUGGGCCAGGGAUCAGAUCCAAGCCACAGUUGUGACCUGUGCUGCUGGUAUGGCAACAUUGGAUCUUUAACCCACUGUGCCGGGCCAGGGAUCAAACCUUUGUCCUGGCCCUGCAGAGAUGCCACCAAUCCCAUUGUGCUUUUUAAAUGCCAACUUUUCUACAUUUCACACCAGUAAAGCUGCACUUAAAUUGAUGUUACUUAUAAUGGUCAUGAGAUGAGUGAUGUAGCUCCACAGUUUAUUACUGCAUCUCCAAUUCCUAGAAAUGUCACUUCAUUGAAAUGCCCAGUAAACGACUGACUUGUAUUACUUUAACGAUUCUCCUAUUAAUACUCUUAGAAUUGAUUUCCAGUUUGGAAGUAUUACUACAGUGAGAAGUGAAUUACUAUAAUAUCCUCUUUUUUAUGUUUUUAUUUUCUUUUGCUAACAUGUUCUCAACUUUAGAAAUUCUUCUCUGAAUGGUUUCACAGAUGCGAACUUCAGGACAGAGGUGGAGGAGUAAGAGUCUACUGCUGCAGAAGAAACAGAAGGACAGAUUCCUUUUUUUGGCCCUUUUGUCUCUUAGGGCCACACCCACAGCAUAUGGAGGUUCCCAGGCUAGGGGUCCAACUGGAACUGUAGCCACCGGCCUAUGCCAGAGCCACAGCAAUGCAGGAUCUGAGCUGUGUCUGCAACCUACACCACUCUCAUGGCAAUGCUGGAUCCUUUAGCCCACUGAGUGAGGUGAGGGAUCGAACCCACAUCCUCAUGGAUGCUAGUCGGGUUCACUAACUACUGAGCCAUGACAGGAACUCCAGGACAGGUUCCUUUUGAGGUAACAUGAUACCAUGAAUAAAUUAGUACAUUUGUCACCUUUUAAAAUUACAAUGGCUAGCCUCAUGGGGAAAUUGGAAGAGAUGAAUUUCUACUUGCUAAAAUAUCUUGGCCUCCUUCAAUUUAGUUUCCUGAAUGAGGUGGUGAGUCAGAUGAGCUCUGAAGUCCAUUUGAGCUCAAGGUUUUUAUUCUUCUUGACCUGAGAGUGCCAGGGAAGGUGGCAGCAUUUCAGGGCUGAUGCAGGUGCACUGGGUUUAUGGAAGCCAAGAUGAUAAGCCUCACAUGAGCUCCAUGGGAUGAGGUUCUGCUCUCAGGACAUGCUGGCAGUCACCCCCACUUAGGACAUAACCUGAAUUUUAAUGACUGAAGACAUAGGUACCCUGUGGAUAUUUUCAUAAAUGCCAAAGUUCACACAUUGUGGCUGAUUGACUAUAAUGGCUAAUAAACUUCAACAGAGUUUUUGCAAGGAACUGUGUCUUAUGAUGAACACCAUACUAGAUGCUGAUUGUCUGUUAUUAUUAAUGCUAUCUUCCUGAAAUGUAUUAUGUAUAUUUAUUUAGUCAUGAACUAUUAAUAAUUCAUGGGAUAUCAUAUAUGUUUGUAAUCUUUGUGAUAUUCUUUCCUCCCAGAACAAAAAGUUAACUCUGUGUCAAAGAAGCCUUGCUUUGAUAAGAUUUCUGUGGAAAUAGUCAAUAUCGAUGUUCCUCCAGCAGAUGUAUUUUCACCAACUUAUCUUCUAUUAUGAAAAAUUUCUUCUAUUAUGAAAAAUAUUUUAUAUUGAUAUACAAGUGUGUGCACCCAUGGGUUUCAACUUUCAGCAGUGACCUAAGUUUGUGUUGAUUCUCUUGUGUUAUGUCAAAGAACUCCAAGCCAUUAUUAGUAUUUUACUUCAUUUUAAAGUAAAAGUGGGAGCUCCUCUUGUGCCUCUGUGUGUUAAGAACCCAACAUAGUGUCCAUGAGUCCCUGGCCUCACUCAGUGGGUUAAGGAUCCAGCAUUACCUCAAGCUGUGGCAUAGGUCACAGGUGUGGCUCUGAUGUGGCAUUGCUGUAGCUGUGGUGUAGGCUGGCUGCUGCAGCUCUGAUUCGACCCCUAGCCUGGAAACUUCCAUAUGCCACAGGUUGGGU
rnacentral:lncRNA from 1 species